rnacentral:rRNA from 1 species
AGUGAACGCUGGCGGUAGGCCUAACACAUGCAAGUCGAACGGCAGCACAGUAAGAGCUCGCUCUUACGGGUGGCGACUGGCGGACGGGUGAGGAAUACAUCGGAAUCUACUUUUUCGUGGGGGAUAACGUAGGGAAACUUACGCUAAUACCGCAUACGACCUACGGGUGAAAGCAUGGGAUCUUCGGACCUUGCGCGAUUCAAUGAGCCGAUGUCGGAUUAGCUAGUUGGCGGGGUAAAGGCCCACCAAGGCGACGAUCCGUAGCUGGUCUGAGAGGAUGAUCAGCCACACUGGAACUGAGACACGGUCCAGACUCCUACGGGAGGCAGCAGUGGGGAAUAUUGGACAAUGGGCGCAAGCCUGAUCCAGCCAUACCGCGUGGGUGAAGAAGGCCUUCGGGUUGUAAAGCCCUUUUGUUGGGAAAGAAAAGCAGCAGGUUAAUACCCCGCUGUUCUGACGGUACCCAAAGAAUAAGCACCGGCUAACUUCGUG